rnacentral:rRNA from 1 species
GAUCAUGCUCAGGAUGAACGCUAGCUACAGGCUUAACGCAUGCAAGUCGAGGGGCAGCAUGAACUUAGCUUGCUAAGUUUGAUGGCGACCGGCGCACGGGUGAGUAACACGUAUCCAACCUGCCGAUGACUCGGGGAUAGCCUUUCGAAAGAAAGAUUAAUACCCGAUGGCAUAAUUCUUCCGCAUGGUAGAACUAUUAAAGAAUUUCGGUCAUCGAUGGGGAUGCGUUCCAUUAGG